GACGAACGCUGGCGGCGUGCUUAACACAUGCAAGUCGAACGGAAAGGCCCUGCUUUUGUGGGGUGCUCGAGUGGCGAACGGGUGAGUAACACGUGAGUAACCUGCCCUUGACUUUGGGAUAACUUCAGGAAACUGGGGCUAAUACCGGAUAGGAGCUCCUGCUGCAUGGUGGGGGUUGGAAAGUUUCGGCGGUUGGGGAUGGACUCGCGGCUUAUCAGCUUGUUGGUGGGGUAGUGGCUUACCAAGGCUUUGACGGGUAGCCGGCCUGAGAGGGUGACCGGCCACAUUGGGACUGAGAUACGGCCCAGACUCCUACGGGAGGCAGCAGUGGAGAAUCUUGCACAAUGGGCGGAAGCCUGAUGCAGCAGCGCCGCGUGCGGGAUGACGGCCUUCGGGUUGUAAACCGCUUUCGCCUGUGACGAAGCGUGAGUGACGGUAAUGGGUAAAGAAGCACCGGCUAACUACGUG
rnacentral:rRNA from 1 species